rnacentral:rRNA from 1 species
AUUGAACGCUGGCGGCAUGCCUUACACAUGCAAGUCGAACGGCAGCACGGGAGCAAUCCUGGUGGCGAGUGGCGAACGGGUGAGUAAUAUAUCGGAACGUGCCCAGACGUGGGGGAUAACGUAGCGAAAGCUACGCUAAUACCGCAUGAGAUCUGAGGAUGAAAGCGGGGGCUCGCAAGACCUCGCGCGUUUGGAGCGGCCGAUAUCAGAUUAGGUAGUUGGUGGGGUAAAGGCUUACCAAGCCUGCGAUCUGUAGCUGGUCUGAGAGGACGACCAGCCACACUGGAACUGAGACACGGUCCAGACUCCUACGGGAGGCAGCAGUGGGGAAUUUUGGACAAUGGGCGCAAGCCUGAUCCAGCAAUGCCGCGUGCAGGAUGAAGGCCUUCGGUUGUAAACUGCUUUGUACGGAACGAAAGGACUUCUCUAAUACGGAGAGCUGAUGACGGUACCGUAAGAAUAAGACACCGGCUAACUACGUG